AGAUAAUAAAAAAAAAAAGGUUCAGUUCUAAGAAACCAUUGAAAUUUUGGCUUAGAAUAAAAGCCAAAAUCCAAACCUCCACAGAGCUUAACAACCUCAAUACUCCAGAAAUAUUCCAUUAAUUUUCCCCGCAUGAAGUGCAGACUAACAAUUCAACUCCUAGAAUACUCAUAUAAGCAUAUUAAAAUAAACAAUCUAACCGCUUAGAAAAGAUUAAAAAAUAACUCAAAAGGCCACAGUAGAGGUCACAAUAAGUUGACUAGCAGAACAGGCCAGCCACCACCAACUAAACUAACUGAAACCCAUCUCAAGGUAGAUUCACCAGAGUCAAAAACUCCCUAAAUU
rnacentral:misc_RNA from 1 species